rnacentral:lncRNA from 1 species
GCUAAAAUAACGAUUACAUAACGGUAAUUGAAAAUUUUGGCGAUAUGUUCACCUUUAUGUUAGCGUUAUGUAAAGUUUAAAGCUUUAUGCCCAAAACUAUUUGUAUGAUAUUUGUAAAGCGUUAUGUUUAACCGUUAUGUUUACAAAAUAAAAAAUUUUUGCAAUUAGAUUUUUUGUUUAUAAUGUCUCUACUAUUUUAGUUUACUUAUUUUAUUUACAUACGGUAUUUACCACUUACUAAGUAGCUUAGCUAUAAAACAGCAUUUUGGUUGUUAAUUAAUAUAUAUUUAUUAAACGGUAAAAAAUUCAAUGUAAAGUUAAAACACUUUAUUGGCGAUUCAUUAACUUGCAAUGCAAUUGCUGGUUUUAAAGAGGUUUUUAGUAAGAAAGUUGUGAGGUGCUGUAGAGUUUGUAAUUCGAACAGGUCAGAAAUGUUAGUUUAUAAUAAACAUUCUUAGUGUAAAGUAAGGAGUUUAGAAGAACACAAAAUAAGGGUCAAAGAACUAGAUAAUCCUAGUUUUCCUCGAGUUGAACGUGUAAAAUGGUCAAAAAUAUAUGGUGUUCAAUCUAACAGUAUUCUAUCUGAAAUAAAAGAAUUUGAUGUGACAAAGCAAGUUUAAAAUUGCAUGAUUCAAGUAAAGAUAGAACUUUACUUGAAUCAUGCAAUUUUAAAUGGUUUUUUUUACAAUAGAUAGCUUAAACAAAUUUGUCAAAUUGUUUCAGUACCCUAAAGACAGUGAAAAACCACCUGUAAUAGUAGAUUUGGUUAUUAAGGGGAAAUUUGGUAGUGCUCAAAUUCUUUCUAUUUGUCGUAUUUUACCAAUUUUGCAAUUGAUUGUCAUUUCUCCUGCCUUAUUAAACAGCUGCGUAUUCUUCAAAUGUGCCUCUCUCCGAUUACCACUGAGGCUUACUUUAUCUCUUUAGAAGAAGCAAUUAGAGUCCGUCAUACUCUUUUUAUGGAUUUAUAUCCAGAUAAGUUUAUACCAAAGCUUCAUUUUCUUAUUUAUUAUCCUCAGCAAUCCAGACAAUUUGGUCCACUACGAUACCACAUGUGCAUGGCUUUUGAGAGGAAAUACCAAGUAAUAAAAAAUGUUAGGCAUUUUAACUUCGAAAAUAUGCCUUUUAGUGCUAUGAAGAGUAUGGUUUUUAAACACUAUAGCUUCUUUUUAUAAUUCUUUUGGAAAAAUUAGUAAUGGAGUUCUUUGUAAAUUAAAUCAAGUUACUAUAAAAAAAAAUGUUGUUACUUGCAUCCGGAUUAAUGGUGUUAAAUAUUGUCCUGAAUCGUCUUUAUGGUUUCAUGAUGAUUUUCAAUCUUUUGCUUAUAUUAUUAAAGAAAUACAUGUAAAAGGAGAAAAAACAAUAUUUAUUGCCUCACAACUUCAGAGCCUUACUUACAAUGUGUUGCGAGGUUUUUUUUACUGCUGUUGAGGACAAUACAGUUCCUUUUAAAACUAUUUCAGCAGAAAACUUAAAUUUUCCAUGGCCAGCAUUUUAUUAUAAGGAAGGGGACAUUUCCUAUGUUGUACCCCCAGCAUUGCCAGUCCUUAUCAUUUAGUUGCAUUGAAAGAAAACUAGUUUUAAUAAAAUGUAUAUAUUUGCAAUAAAUAUGAUUGCUCAGUCUGAUUUGCUUUAUUUAUUUUGUCAGUUUUAGUUGUUGUAAAUGUUUUAUUUUUUAAUAAGUUUCACAAAUGUUUUAAAAGAAAAUCUUGUUUUUUAUUAACUUUAUGUUUUAUAUAUUUACAUUAAUGAUAUAUAUUUAGAUUAACAGAAUUCCUUUUGAUGGCGAGACUAAAUAAACUCUUAUUGAUUUUUUUCCACCUCAUAUUAAACUAUUUCUGAGCAACAAGUUUUCAAUUGAAGAUAAGGUGGUAUCUAGAGAGCUAAUGUCUUGUUUAUUAGCUUUUUGUUGUUUGCAUGUGUCUAAUCAUAGCAAUAUACAAAAUAGAAUAUUGUUACGGAAAGUAUUUUUUGCAAAGUUAAAGUCUACUUGCAUUUCCUUAUAUCCUUUUUACAUCAUUAAAUGGGAUCUCUUGUUCAAAAAGUUGCCCAAUAAUUAUAGACAAAGACAAUUUAGUAAAUGUCUCAGUUUAAAAGUGAAGCGAUUUCCUAAUUUUUCUGUUGUAAAUAGCAGCUGAACAGUGAAUCCAAUUUUGUCAUAAUCAGUUAUAGAUAAAGAACAGCUAAUACAAGAUAUUGUAAAUGAAUUUAAGAAGAAAAAGCCAUUGCUUUUAACACUAUCCAUUCUAAACAGACAACUUUUUAAUAAUGAGAUUUAUAGUGUUUUUCCAAAAAGAGUUACAUUUGCUCCUGGAUUAAUGCUGGAAGAAGCAAUUCGUUUUUACCAUAGUUUUAAAGACUCGGAUCUUAAGAUUCAAAAGAUAUUUGGAUUUCUCCUGAGUCUCAAAACCACACUGAAAAUUUAAUGCUGCUGCAGAAAUCACUCAUUUCUAAGAAGACAACGGAAAAAUUGUUUAUGAAAGUUAAUGGAAAGAAAAUUGUUCUCGCUUGUAAUAUUGCUGACAUUUUAACUAAUGUGAUUUACUACAUGAAUAGUUAUGCCAAAGCUUAUAUGGUCCACAAGUUAUCUUUAAUAAAACAGAAUAUGAUGCAAGAAGUUGAAGAGGUGUCGAAAUGGAUGUUUAGCCCUUGGUCAGUACAUAUAGUGGUUGUUUUGACGGUUGUUUACUAUUUGCUAGAUUUGACAUAUUCUUGUUUUGGGCGGCUUCUGGGAUAUUAGCAAGAUAUUUGAGGCUUCUUGCAAUUGGCUUUAUUGUCUAAAAAAUGCAUUUUUUUUCUGCAAUCUUUUCAAAGCAAUGCAAAUUAAUUUUGAAUUUAUAAAUGUUAAUAA